rnacentral:lncRNA from 1 species
GAGUAAGCAUGACAUUAUCUGAGAUUGACCUACCUUUAAGGAAACCAGUUUGGUUUGGAGAAAUAAUUAUAUUCAUAAGAGGGGCUAGCCUAUUAUUAAGCAACUUUAAGAUAAUUUUGGAAGUGAAGUUGCUUAGACUAAUAGGUCUGAAAUCAGUAAAUUGUUGCGGGUUAUCAAUUUUAGGGAUAAGGAAAAGGCAUGUAUGAGUGAAUGAUCUGGGAAGUGGUUGCCCAGAGAAGAAUUCCAAAACCACCUGAUAAAGAUCAACAUAAAUUAUAUUCCAGUAGUGUCGAAAGAAUUUUUCAGAAAUGCCAUCGGGGCCAGGCGACAUGCUACUUUCCAUGGAGAAUACUACCUAUUUCAGUUCAUGGUAGGGAGUGCCUCUAAAACCAAGUUAUCUUCUUCAUUUAUUACUCUGUUAAGCCCUCUGAUCUUUGAAAAAUCUUUGCAAGUAGUUUCUUGUGUGAACUAUUGCUCAAAAAAGUUAAUAGUUUCAGUAACUAUAUCAUCCUUGUUCUUAAUCCAGGUACCAUCUUGCUUCUUGAUUCUUGUAAAUUGUAAUUGUUUCCUUCUGGAAUUAAUUAUAGAGUGAAAGAACCUAGUGUUAUUGUCACCAUCCGUAAACCACUUCAAGCCAGCUUUUUGUCUCCAAAAUGACUCUUCAUUUUUUAUGUGUCUAAUCAACUGUGCAUUCACAUUAUUGUAUUCCAUCCUAUUACUUUUAGAAUUGUCAUUUAGACAUCUUUCCUCUAAUACCUCAAGUGUAUUCUGCAAUUCCUUGGUCUUAUCAAAAAUAUUCCCAAUAGAAUUCUUGGACCAAAAGGAAAGACUCUUACAAAUAUUUUUUAGCUUGAGAUGAAAUCUCCACAUAGGGCCUCCUUCUACUUGUAGUUGCCAGGAUUAUUCCACCACUUGCAUAAAACCCUCCUGUUUAGUCCAAAGAUCUAAGAAUCUGAAAUAAUUUUUAGGCUCCAAUUGUGGAUUGAAAGUGGAAACAAGCAAAUGAGCAUAAUCAUAGUCAGUUCUGACCAAGUGCGUGACAGAGGUAUCUGCAAAAUUCCCUAACCAUUCCGAGUUAAUUAACAAGAGCUCUAUCCAAUCUUGCACAUAUCCUCGUAGUAGGUGCUCAGCCAUUACACCAAGUAAAAGGACUGCCAAUGCAACCAAGAUCCAGAAGGCCAUUAUCCACAAUGCAGUUGAUGAAGGGCAAGCUUUUAGACAUAUUUUGGAUCCCCCCUUUCUCCUAAGGAUCAAUAAUAACGUUAAAAUCACCAAUCAUCAUCCAUGUAGAGAUUUGAUGCUAUCCCAUAGAGGCUCCCUGAGAUUAGGUUUGCAUUUAGCAUACACUAAAGUUCAUGUAUAAAGUCUCCCCAUUAUUAUCAAUUGAGCAAUUGAUAAGUUGAGGAAGGUCUUCAAUAACAAUACAGUUGAUAGAGCUAUCACCAAAGAACCAUAUUUUAUUGUUCCAGUUGGCAUACGCAAAAUCAAACCCAAGUCCUCUCCUAAAUUUCUCUAACUUUUUCCUUCCACUGAAAGGUUCCAUGAUAGCAAUGAAUAAAAGGUUGAGAUUUCUUUUGAGUUGCUUAAGUCUGUCAAAGGCACCCUGUGAAGUGAUGCCUCUAAUAUUCUAAAUAAGAGACUUAAUCAUUAAAAGGAUGCAGAUUGAUCAUCAUUGUCCUGUGAAAAUUUCACAGGAGGAAUACCUUUGCCUUUUCUAUUACCUCUACCCUCCCUAAAGGUGAGUCCACCUCUGGUUAAUGAGAGUCCACCUCUGGUUACCUCAUGCCCCCUAGGUGAGAGGUGGUGUCUAUCAGUUAUAUCUCCAAAGGCUUGAACAAUUUCAUCUGGUGGUGGUGAUUGAUGUGAGAAUGCUUCUAGUAAUCUUUUAGUAUGUUCAUCACUGGUAGUUGAUUGAGCAUCAAGACUUUUCUCACUUUUAGACUGAUCUUCAACACUUUCAAAGUCAUUCUCGGAAUCACUAACAACUUGAUUAUUUUCAGCAAUUUUUUAUUCUUCCCCUUCAAAUUCAGAAUCUUCAUCAUUUACAAUAUCCAGCUCUAAUUCAUCACUAUUCUCUGAAGGAACAUUGUGCUUAAUAGGAUUGUUAUCUGGUGCAGGGGUUUUUAGAGGUUGGAUUAUCAGGAGGAUGAGGGUCUGGAGGCUCUUGAGAAAUGGGAUUUGUGUGUGCAUUUUCUAUCUGGUUUCUUGGUAGUGGAGGGCUAAUUUGUGUUGUCUAUGGAAUUUUAGAAACUGGGAUGGAUAUAUUUUGUUGUUUUGGAACAACAAAAGUAGAGGUGAUAUCAGAACUACUUUGGUGUUUUGGCUUGGUAAUAUUAUCAGGGAGCAUCUGAGAACCUUUCUUAAUGGGAUAUUGCAUAUUAGGAUUGGUCUGAGGUGUUGUGUUUUGGGGUUUAUCAGGUUUUGCAUUUAGAUUAACUUGGCUUGACUCAGUUGUUGGUGGAGUUGGUUAUUUUGUGCUAUGAUGUUGAUGAAUAUUGGUCUGUUGUUUGCUCUGGUUAACUUGCCAUUGUACUUUUUUUUUAGGUCUAUUCUUGUGUUUCUAUGCCUGGUACAAUUGGGCUAUAUGUUCAACUGGAUUGUUCUUGUACAAAACUUGUUUCUGUUUGUCUUGCGUUCCAUCAUUUGGUAGCUAUAUAGUUGGUUGGUUUGCCCUCUCUGGUUGUGAAUUUUUCCCUGUGAGAAUGACUUCCUGAUGAAGUUGUUGUGGUAGCAUAUUCAAGUUAGUAUUCCCAAUUAUGUGUUGAUGUAAUUUCUUGUUUCCUCUUUGAACUCUCUAUUGAUCAUCAAUCUCCUCAGUGUUGGCUGAGGCUUGAUACUGAACUUCUUUAUCUCUUUUCUUAUUUCUGGAGGAGAGUAGAUCGUGUUCUUGCAUACAAAAAUAUCGGCAAUAUGAUGGGGCACCCUUGUAUUAAAUAUCUAACCAGUAUCCAUCUUCCUCAAUACUAUCUAACCUCUUAAAACCCAGCCAGAUUUGAUCAUGUCUAGGCUUUAAGAGGUCAAUUUCAACUUUAAGCUUAGCCACGUUACCCCUAUACUUAGAGUAAGUGGCCAUAUCCGGGGCCAUGGUAAUACUAAUUGAGCUAACCAUUCUGUACAAGGUGUCCCAUCUAAAAAGAUGCCAGGGGAGAUGAUGAAUCAAAAUCCAUACAUGGGCAAUUGUAGUUUCACAUUCAAGGGCAAAAUCAAGGGUCCAUCUAAUAAUCUUCAUUAUAUAUGGACCAAGAGUGGUGAAUGGUCUAAAGUAUAUGUGGUAGAAGUCUGCUUCAUUGGUAAAGUCAAUAUAAACAUGAUUUAUAUCAUAGUAGGCUAUUUAACAGUAACUUUGAGAGGGAUAUGACUCAUGAACAACCUCUUUACUUCUUCCAUACUAGGUUUACCUCAGGUGAACUUCCCAACAAUUGUAAAUUUCCAAUCUUCAGCUAAUGUAAUAAAAUAGUCAUGGGCAGUGAAGUAUACUGUGGGUUUACCCAUAUGAGUACCGUGCGUAAUUUCCACUGGUUACUUGGUACUUGAGCUAUUGGCAAGAGCAGCUGGCACUGUAGCUGAGAAGGAUGGCUUAGACACUAGGUGGGGUGGCAUGGUUUGAACUUUGGAAUUAGUAUUUGAGCUAAAAGGGAGAUUAUUAUUUUCUGAUUUGCUUUCUGUUGACCAUUGGACUGGAAAUUUUGGGUAGUAUUGAUGUUUGGGUUGUGACGAAGAGGGGGGGGGGGGGGGUCAAAGUUACUGGAAACCUUCAAUUGUGGUGGAAGAGAGCUAUAUUUUUGGGUAUUUGGGAGUUUGGGAUUUAGUGUUGAGUUAACAUUUGUGCCAUCCAUAUGGACCGCAUCUUCGUGUCUAAUUUGGGAGGAUGUUGGUUAUGAGAAGGGGUAAUUUGAUGGAGUGGUUUGGGGUGUUGAGUUGGUGGUAGGUGGAUUAUGAUGGUGAGGUAUCGAAUUUUGAUUGGUAUUUUGUGGUGGUGGAUCGAGUGAGGGACCUCUAAUUCUCCAGUGAAGUCGGCAAAGCAUAGAGAGAAGUCAGAGAAAAUUAGUUAGAGAGAGAAAGUCGUGGAAUUUUUUAUACGAUCACAUCUAUGUUUGGAC